AUAAGGACCGUCGGGACGGCCAUGGUUCGAGGAAACGAACCAGCCGGUCUUAAGACCUUAAGGCUAGCGUUCCAUGGCCAAGAUAGAAGGUUAAGGACGUCAGGAUGCUGAGACUUAACCUUAUAAGAGAAAGAAGUCAGCUAGGAUAAGCUGUAUAGAAGCUGGGUGAUGCUUACGAGAAGCUCCAUCAGCUAAACGUAGCUCGGUCAAGCUCAGCCUAGCUCGUUCCAAGUUAAGUCAGCUCAACCAUCAGGACUACUAGCUCACUCAGCUGAGGCAGCUGGGAGUCAGCUCAUCUCAGCUCGACGGACUGUUCAGGUUUUGGGCCGAUGGUCUGGGUCCGGGUCAGUGGCGGGCCAGGAGGUCCGGCCAUGUGGUCCAUGAGUCGUUGGCUCUUGUGGGCAGGCCGUGGGCUUGGGUACCAAGCCUGGGCUUAGGUUAGACGUGCCUAUAAGGUCUGGAACCUUCCAUUUCCGAACAGGUACGAUCUGGACCGUUGAUUGUAAUCGAUGGCCAAGAUCUGUCCCAAAAGGAUGCUUCAAAGGGAUGUGUCCCUUUGCACAUGACCUUUGGUUGCCUAUAUAAAGGAUGCACGACAAGAGGUCAAUUCAUUCAUUCUGAUUCAGUUUCUGUAACGCCCGAAUCCGGCAUCUCGACGAAACUGGACGCGGUUGCUACUUAAUCAAUUUCUUUGCUUGUUUGUUUCAUUUUAAGUCUUUCCUUUACUAAGUCAAGUUCGAAUCUGAGGUUCUAAAACAAUUGAACAGAUAGCACAGCGGAAUAUAAAUGUGUAUAAAAUUUAUUACUUAGAAACAUGAUAU